rnacentral:rRNA from 1 species
UACGGAAGUGGCUAGCGUUAUCCGGAAUUAUUGGGCGUAAAGAGUCCGCAGGCGGUCUUGAAAGUCUGUUGUUAAAGCGUGGAGCUCAACUCCGUUUAUGCCAUGGAAACUAUAAGACUAGAGUGUGGUAGGGGCAGAGGGAAUUCCCGGUGUAGCGGUGAAAUGCGUAGAUAUCGNGGAAGAACACCAGUGGCGAAGGCGCUCUGCUGGGCCAUAACUGACGCUCAUGAACGAAAGCCAGGGGAGCGAAAGGGAUUAGAUACCCCUGUAGUCCUGGCCGUAAACGAUGAGCGCUAGGUGUCGGGGGAAUCGACCCCCUCGGUGUCGUAACCAACGCGUUAAGUGUUCCGCCUGGGGAGAACGCACGCAUGUGUGACACUCGAAGGAAUUGACGGCCGCCCGCACAAGGGAUGGAGUAUGUGAUUUAAUUCAAUGCAGCGCGAACAUCCUUACCAGGGUUUGACUUCCUGCGAAUCCCUUGGAAACUUGGUAGCGCCUUCGGCAGCGCAGAGACAGGUGGUGCGUGGCUGUCGUCAGCUCGUGUCGUGAGAUGUUGGGUUAAGUCCCGCAACGAGCGCAACCCUCGUCUUUAGUUGCCAGCAUUGAGUUGGGCACUCUAUGAGAGACUCCCGCGUGAUAAAACCGGAGGAAGAGUGUGGAAGACGUCAAGUCAUCACUGCCCCUUACAUCCGUGGGCUACACCACGUACUACAAUGCUGCGGACAAAGGGCAGCAAACUCGCGAGAGCUAGCAAAUUCCAUAAACCGUGGCUCAGUUCAGAUCGUAGUCCGCAACUCGCGUACGUGAAGGAGGAAUCGCUAGUAAUCGCAGGUCAGCAUACCGCGGUGAAUACGUUCCCGGGCCU